UACGUAGGGGGCGAGCGUUGUCCGGAGUUACUGGGCGUAAAGCGCACGCAGGCGGUCUGCUAAGUUUGGAGUGACAGUUGGUGGCUUAACUGCCAAAGUGCUUCGAAAACUGACAGACUUGAGGGCUUCAGAGGGACACGGAAUUCCGGGUGGAGUGGUGAAAUGCGUAGAGAUCCGGAGGAACACCGGUGGCGAAGGCGGUUCUCUGGGCAGUAACUGACGCUGAGGAGCGAAAGCGUGGGGAGCGAACAGG
rnacentral:rRNA from 1 species